rnacentral:rRNA from 1 species
UACGUAGGGGGCUAGCGUUGUUCGGAAUUACUGGGCGUAAAGGGCGCGUAGGCGGUGUGUCAAGUCAGGCGUGAAAGCCCCGGGCUCAACCUGGGAACCGCGCUUGAGACUGGCACGCUAGAGUUCGGGAGAGGAUGGUGGAAUUCCCAGUGUAGAGGUGAAAUUCGUAGAUAUUGGGAAGAACACCGAUGGCGAAGGCAGCCAUCUGGACCGACACUGACGCUGAGGCGCGAAAGCGUGGGGAGCAAACAGG